rnacentral:rRNA from 1 species
GAUGAACGCUGGCGGCGUGCUUAACACAUGCAAGUCGAACGAAGCACUUUAACAUGAUUCUUCGGAUGAAGGUUUUUGUGACUGAGUGUCGGACGGGUGAGUAACGCGUGGGUAACCUGCCUCAUACAGGGGGAUAACAGUUAGAAAUGACUGCUAAUACCGCAUAAGACCACAGAGCCGCAUGGCUCGGUGGGAAAAACUCCGGUGGUAUGAGAUGUAGCCGAGUCUGAUUAGGUAGUUGGUGGGGUAACGGCCUGCUAAGCCAACGAGCAGUAGCCGACAUGAGAGGGUGACCGGACACAUUGGGACUGGGACACGGCCCGAACUCCCGCGGGAGGCAGAAAUGGGGAAUAUUGCACAAUGGGGGAAACCAUGAUGCAGCGGCGCCGCGUGACCGAAGAAGUAUUGCGGUAUGUAAAGCUCUAUCAGAAGCGAAGAAAAUGACGGUACCUGCCUAAGAAGCACCGGCUAAAUACGUG